rnacentral:rRNA from 1 species
CCUACGGGUGACAGCAGUGAGGAAUAUUCGUCAAUGGACGAGAGUCUGAACCAGCCAAGUAGCGUGAAGGAUGACUGCCCUAUGGGUUGUAAACUUCUUUUAUAAAGGAAUAAAACGAGGCACGUGUGCCUUUUUGCAUGUACUUUAUGAAUAAGGAUCGGCUAACUCAGUGCCAGCAGCCGCGGUAAUACUGAGGAUCCGAGCGUUAUCCGGAUUUAUUGGGUUUAAAGGGAGCGUAGAUGGGUUGUUUGGUCAGUUGUGAAAGUUUGCGGCUAAACCGUAAAAUUGCAAUUGAUGAUGGCAGUCUUGAGUACAGUUGAGGUAGGUGGAAUUCGUGGUGUAGCGGUGAAAUGCUUAGAUAUCACGAAGAACCCCGAUUGCGAAGGCAGCUUACUAAACUGUGACUGACAUUGAUGCUCGAAAGUGUGGGUAUCAAACAGGAUUAGAUACCCCAGUAGUG